UUUAAUUGGAUUUAGAUAUAUUAGAAGGCUACUCCUAGGCAAAAUGCAUUAUAUAUAUAUAUAUAUAUAUAUAUAUAUAUAUAUAUGUCUUCAAAAUAGCGCUUACUGAAUAUUAGGGUAACAUUUUCCUCCAUGUUAGCAAAUCGAAAAAAAGCAGAGCCCCGGCAGACUGGAGGGGGUCCACCUCUGCAGCCCUCACAGAGGCUGAGGAGAUGGCCCUCAGUCAACAGAGUAUGGGUCCUGUGGCUGAGGGCAUCCCUGGGGGGAGCUCCUCACCAACCUCCAUGCAAUUGUAACAAUUCUUCACCUUCCACAGAUUAUUAAUAAUGUCUUGGUAAUUGCUGAACACAACCGUUAAUGUCAUUACAGGAAGAUGAUGGAGAAACAUUGUCUGCGGCAUUCGAAAGGGAAGAGGAAAGGCCUAUUGAGGAUGAAAUCGAAUCCAAUGAGAGGCCAUCCACUUCUAAAUCACAGCUUACCUCUGUAAGAUUCUCCCUGGAAUUAUAAUGAAACGCUCUACUUGGCACUGUGAAAUCCAAUCUCAUCUUUUGCAUUCCUAUAGCUUCCAGUCAAAGACUUAUAUAAAAUCUAUCUAGAAAAGCAAAUACACAAAGCAGACUUGGAAAUGGACCACCUUAGGCAAAAGAUGCAAAAGGAUGCUUUGGAGAUCCACAUUUUGGAACAUAAGUUAAAGG